rnacentral:rRNA from 3 species
AACUUUCAACAACGGAUCUCUUGGUUCUCGCAUCGAUGAAGAACGCAGCGAAACGCGAUAGUUAAUGUGAAUUGCAGAAUUCAGUGAAUCAUCGAGUCUUUGAACGCACAUUGCGCCCAUAGGUAUUCCUUUGGGCAUGUCUGUUUGAGCGUCAUU